CCUACGGGAGGCUGCAGUAGGGAAUCUUUCACAAUGGGCGAAAGCCUGAUGGAGCAACGCCGCGUGAAGGAUGAAGGCCUUCGGGUUGUAAACUGCUUUUAUAAGCGAGAAAUAUGAUGGUAACUUAUGAAUAAGGAUCGGCUAACUACGUGCCAGCAGCCGCGGUCAUACGUAGGAUCCGAGCAUUAUCCGGAGUGACUGGGUGUAAAGAGUUGCGUAGGUGGCAUAAUAAGUAGCUAGGGAAAUCUGGUGGCUCAACCAUUCAGACUAUUAGCUAAACUGUUAAGCUCGAGACCGUUAGGGGUAACUAGAAUUUCUAGUGUAGGAGUGAAAUCCGUAGAUAUUAGAAGGAACACCAAUAGCGUAGGCAGGUUGCUGGGACGGUUCUGACACUAAGGCACGAAAGCGUAGGGAGCAAACGGGAUUAGAUACCCCAGUAGUC
rnacentral:rRNA from 1 species